CGGAGCGUAGCGCAGCCUGGUAGCGCACCUGCAUGGGGUGCAGGGGGUCGUGAGUUCGAAUCUCGCCGCUCCGACCA
rnacentral:tRNA from 1 species